GGGCCCGUAGCUCAGCUUGGAUAGAGCGGCACCCUCCUAAGGUGAAGGCCGAGAGUUCAAAUCCCUCCGGGCCCG
rnacentral:tRNA from 1 species